rnacentral:rRNA from 1 species
GAUGAACGCUGGCGGCGUGCCUAAUACAUGCAAGUCGAACGCACAAGCGCGGCGCUUGCUGCUCUGACGUUUGCCGCACGCGUGUGUGUCACGCGUGUAUCCCCUCCCUAUCUGUGUGAGAACACUUCGAGAAGCCUGCUCUAAUACCGUAUAAUAUAUUCAACCGCAUGGGUCUGUAGUAAAAGGCGUUUUUGCUGUCGGUUGUGCCUGGAUCCUAGCCGCAUUAGCUAGUUGUUAUGGUCACGGCUUACCAAGGCAACGAUGCGUCGCCGACCUGAGAGGGUGAUCGGGCACACGGUAACUGAGAGACGGUCCAGACGCCUACGGGAGGCAGCAGUAGGGAAUCGUGCGCAAUGGGAGAAAGCCUGACGGAGUAACGCCGCGUGAGUGAUGAAGGGCUGCGGAUCGUAAAACUGUGUUAUUAGGGAAGAACAAAUGUGUAAGUAACUAUGCUCGUCUUGACGGUAGUUAAUCAGAAAGCCCCGGCUAACUACGUG